rnacentral:lncRNA from 1 species
AGCUUGGAAAGGUGCAUUUUGUCCUGAUUCCUGCUGCAGAUGCACUAAUUGGGGCUCUGGUGAUGUCGAUUCUAAAGCAAUGAAGCUUCUGUGGUUUGUGAUUGGAGCCCCAGGUCAGGUCUGAGGCCCUCGCCGUUGCAUCCCUUUGGGUUGCUGAGAUUCCUGAGUGCCAUGUGGGCUGCAGUGGCUGCAGAGACCUGGGGGAAUGGUGGCAGUUGUGAAAGUUAAUAGGCCCAUUUCUGCCCUUGGCAGUGGCUGAAUUGCAACUCCUGUCACAUGCUUGAGUCUUGGAGGUCGCCAUGGACUAUGCUGUGGUCCUAGGCCUGCAUUCCUCCUGCAGGUUGGCCAGAGGCCCAGAGAAGAAUGUUUGUGCAGGUCUUCUGAAGUCUUCCUGAAAGCAUCCCUGGUGAUCUGUGAGCCCUUGGUCGUGUUGCCCGCCUUCUUCCUGUGGGUCUUGCUGGAUGCUCAUUGUCCCUGUGAGCCGAGGCCCUGGAGGCUUCAGAUUUAGGUGAAGUUGCCACGUAUGACUGUCCAUCAGCCAGGAGAUGAACCCCCACCCGUGAGGCAGUGACUCAAGGUGCAAGGGAGUCCGGCAAGAAGUGUGGCGCACCCGAGUUGCUGCCACUGCUUUUUGGAUCACCCAGCACGGUACGGCUUCUCCUGCCCCAAGACGUGUCGUGAAUUUCAGGUUUCCUGGGACUGCCUGAGUGGUUGUUCGUAUAGAGGGACCGUUCCUC